rnacentral:lncRNA from 1 species
GUGGAUCUAAAUUUUAAUGUUAUAGCAUGAUGACAACAUGUGUGGUUUGAUUCUAUAGAAGUAACUAGUUAUGCUACUCCCUUCGUAUGAUGCAUUUCAAUCUAAUGAAUAUGAUUUCUGUGGGUGUGCAUCAUGUAACAGGAGGAAGUAAAUUGAAAAGAAACAGAAUACCUUAAUGUUUGCUUUGGUUGAAGGUUGCAGUUGAAUGAAGCAAGAAUUAACUGAUACUUGAAAAUUUCUUUGGCAGAGAAUGAUGAAAACGUUUAAGUAUGGAAUGGGCAUGAGAUGAGGAUUAAUAGCUGCUGAAAUCUGAAACCACAUGAAGGUGUUCGGGUGUGAAAAUUUUGCAAAUAUGCUGCUGGAGCUGGAGUCAAAGAAAAAUAUUUCAAAGGCGUGGAGCUGGAGUCAAAGAAAAAAUGUCAAUAGAUGGCUGAGCAUGCUUGAGCAUGCUUAAGGGAUAGCUGCAGAUUUUCUUCACACACAUACACUAUUCCUUUUUUUUUUUAAUGUUGGUAGAUAGAUAGAAAAAUAGGGGUUUGUAAAGUGAAGUAUAAACAGAAGCAAUAAUUCUUGUCUUGGAAUUUCUAUAUCUGUAAUAUUGUAUUGCAUCUUUUUUUUUUAAAUAAAAUCCAACUACCGGGUUUUG